UGGGGAAGUCAGAGAUUCAAGGGAGAAUGAACAGUUACCAGCCUUAUGAAGCUGGGAGUCUUCUGGCUCACUCCAGUCCUGCCAAGCAGGCUGUGAAGUUUGUUCUAAUUAUACUGACUUGCUGGUAACAGAAAGAUUGUCUGGGCAUGUCCCCCUCAACAUCUCCAAAGUGUCUUUCAAUGUGGAAAAAUGGAACAACUCCACUUCUCGAUGGGAUGAAGUAAUCAUCUCUGUUACUGGGAAUUCAAAAUCUCUUAAUGGCCCCAUCAAAGAGUAGGUCUCUGCGUGUGGGGGAUAUUUCAAUUUGAAAAAAGUGAGCAAAGCAGCUGGGGGAUAUUAUAAGGUGAUAUUGGUACUAUCUGGAAAGUGUGUGGCCUGUAUACAUCUGAGAGUGCUGGAGCCCACCUCAUCCCCACCUCCCACAGCACAAACCCCCAGGGUGAGUGAGGAACCCACCACUAAGAGUGGAAAGGAGGGACUGAAGGCUUUGAAAUGGACCAUUCCUGUUGGGCUCUUUCCUAUGGUACUGAUGAUGUUCUGAGAACAGAGGUUCAUUAUCUUUCGAGGGAAAAAUCAUGGUUACCAAUAAAGAUCUGUCUGUGCCAUGGGCCUGAAGUUUCUUGCAUUGAACUAUUCCAAGUUUAGGAAACGAGUGGAAUACAAUACCUAGCUUGUAUACAGUGGUUUUCAUCUGUAGAUCUCAAUGCUCUUUACAUAAUUGUGCUGGUGAUGGGCAGCCAUGUGUUCUAUGAGGACAACUGAAAUAUAGAGAUGUCCAGGGGUAGGCAACCUAUGGCACGUGUGCCAAAGGCGGCACGCAAGCUGGUUUUCA